UACGAAGGUGGCAAGCGUUGUUCGGAUUUACUGGGCGUAAAGGGAGCGUAGGUGGUUAGGUAAGCCCUCCGGGAAAUCUUCAGGCUUAACCUGAAAAGGUCGGGGGGGACUGCCUGGCUAGAGGACGGGAGAGGAGCGCGGAAUUCCCGGUGUAGCGGUGAAAUGCGUAGAGAUCGGGAGGAAGGCCGGUGGCGAAGGCGGGCAUCUGGGCCAACACUGACGCUGAGGCGCGAAAGCUAGGGGAGCAAACAGG
rnacentral:rRNA from 1 species